CGGCGAUUAGCGCAGUCCGGUUAGCGCACUUCGUUAGGGACGAAGGGGUCGAAGGUUCGAAUCCUUUAUCGCCGACCA
rnacentral:tRNA from 1 species